AGGGUUUUAAGUUAAAAAAACUACCAGCCUUCAAAGCUUGAAACGAGGAUGUUGCCCUCAGGCCCUU
rnacentral:tRNA from 1 species